rnacentral:rRNA from 1 species
AUUGAACGCUGGCGGCAGGCCUAACACAUGCAAGUCGAGCGGAUGAAGGGAGCUUGCUCCUGGAUUCAGCGGCGGACGGGUGAGUAAUGCCUAGGAAUCUGCCUGGUAGUGGGGGAUAACGUCCGGAAACGGGCGCUAAUACCGCAUACGUCCUGAGGGAGAAAGUGGGGGAUCUUCGGACCUCACGCUAUCAGAUGAGCCUAGGUCGGAUUAGCUAGUUGGUGGGGUAAAGGCCUACCAAGGCGACGAUCCGUAACUGGUCUGAGAGGAUGAUCAGUCACACUGGAACUGAGACACGGUCCAGACUCCUAGGGGAGGCAGCAGUGGGGAAUAUUGGACAAUGGGCGAAAGCCUGAUCCAGCCAUGCCGCGUGUGUGAAGAAGGGCUUCGGAUUGUAAAGCACUUUAAGUUGGGAGGAAGGGCAGUAAGUUAAUACCUUGCUGUUUUGACGUUACCAACAGAAUAAGCACCGGCUAACUUCGU